rnacentral:rRNA from 1 species
GGAAGGGGUGUAUUUAUUAGAUAAAAAACCAAUGCCCUUCGGGGCUCCUUGGUGAAUCAUAAUAACUUAACGAAUCGCAUGGCCUUGCGCCGGCGAUGGUUCAUUCAAAUUUCUGCCCUAUCAACUUUCGAUGGUAGGAUAGUGGCCUACCAUGGUGGCAACGGGUAACGGGGAAUUAGGGUUCGAUUCCGGAGAGGGAGCCUGAGAAACGGCUACCACAUCCAAGGAAGGCAGCAGGCGCGCAAAUUACCCAAUCCCGACACGGGGAGGUAGUGACAAUAAAUACUGAUACGGGGCUCUUUUGGGUCUCGUAAUUGGAAUGAGUACAAUCUAAAUCCCUUAACGAGGAACAAUUGGAGGGCAAGUCUGGUGCAGCAGCCGCGGUAAUUCCAGCUCCAAUAGCGUAUAUUAAAGUUGUUGCAGUUAAAAAGCUCGUAGUUGAACCUUGGGUCUGGCUGGCCGGUCCCGCCUCACCGCGAGUACUGGUCCGGCUGGACCUUUCCUCUGGGGAAUCUCAUGGCCUUCACUGGCUGUGGGGGGAACCAGGACUUUUAC